rnacentral:misc_RNA from 1 species
GAUGAAGAACGCAGCGAAAUGCGAUAAGUAAUGUGAAUUGCAGAAUUCAGUGAAUCAUCGAAUCUUUGAACGCACAUUGCGCCCGCCAGUAUUCUGGCGGGCAUGCCUGUUCGAGCGUCAUUUCAACCAUCAAGCCCCAGGCUUGUGUUGGGGACCUGCGGCUGCCGCAGGCCCUGAAAACCAGUGGCGGGCUCGCUGUCACACCGGGCGUAGUAGAUUUUAUCUCGCUCAGGGCGUGCUGCGGGUCCCGGCCGUUAAAAGCCUUUUUUUACCCAAGGUUGACCUCGGAUCAGGUAGGAAGACCCGCUGAACUUAAGCAUAUCAAUAGCGGAGGA